CCCUUAGAUGUUCUGGGCCGCACGCGCGCUACACUGACGGAGGCAGCGAGCAUGUCCUUCGCCGAGAGGUGUGGGGAAUCUUGUGAGUCUCCGUCGUGCUGGGGAUAGAUGGUUGCAAUUGUCGAUCUUGAACGAGGAAUUCCUAGUAAGCGCGAGUCAUCAGCUCGCGUUGAUUACGUCCCUGCCCUUUGUACACACCGCCCGUCGCUACUACCGAUUGAAUGGUUUAGUGAGGACUCCUGAUUGGCGCCGCCGCCCCGGCAACGGAGCAGCGGACUGCCGAAAAGUUGUUCAAACUUGAUCAUUUAGAGGAAGUAAAAGUCGUAACA
rnacentral:rRNA from 1 species